rnacentral:rRNA from 1 species
AUGCAUGCGUCACCUUGCUGUAAAUUUCAUGAAGAAAUUCAAAGGAAGGGUGUAUACCGACAAUUUAUGGCCAGCAUCUUUGACUUGCAGUGUGAAGAAGCUCAACUACCACUUGAGGCAGUUAUACAUGAAUCCCAAAGUGAAAGAAUACUUGGAAACACACCACUCCAAGUUAUGGGCCAGAAGCCAAUUCAGUGA